GUCUUUUUGACUAUAAUUUAAAGUCUCGCCUGCCCACUGAAAUUUAAAUGGCCGCGGUAUUUUGACCGUGCAAAGGUAGCAUAAUCAUUAGUUUUUUAAUUGAAAGCUGGAAUGAAUGGUUGGAUAAGGAAAAAACUGUCUCAAUUUAAAAUUUUUUAAUUUUAUUUUUAAGUAAAAAAGCUUAAAUGAAUUUAAAAGACGAGAAGACCCUAUAGAGUUUAAUAAAUAAGUUUAAUUUGAUUAUUUAGUAAUAUAUUUAUUAAUUUAAGGUUAUUUAUUUGGUUGGGGUGAUCGAAAAAUUUAAAUAACUUUUUUUUUAAAAAAACAUUAAUUAAUGAUUUAUUGAUCCAUAAAAAUGAUUAAAAGAUUAAAUUACCUUAGGGAUAACAGCGUAAUUUUUUCAGAGAGUUCUUAUCGAAGAAAGAGAUUGCGACCUCGAUGUUGGAUUAAAAUUAAUUGUUGGUGUAGAAGCUAAUAAAUUAGGUCUGUUCGACCUUUAAAAUUUUACA
rnacentral:rRNA from 1 species